rnacentral:rRNA from 1 species
AGAGUUUGAUCAUGGCUCAGAUUGAACGCUGGCGGCAGGCCCAACACAUGCAAGUCGAGCGGAUGAAGGGAGCUUGCUCCUGGAUUCAGCGGCGGACGGGUGAGUAAUGCCUAGGAAUCUGCCUGGUAGUGGGGGAUAACGUCCGGAAACGGGCGCUAAUACCGCAUACGUCCUGAGGGAGAAAGUGGGGAUCUUCGGACCUCACGCUAUCAGAUGAGCCUAGGUCGGAUUAGCUAAUUGGUGGGGUAAAGGCCUACCAAGGCGACGAUCCGUAACUGGUCUGAGAGGAUGAUCAGUCACACUGGAACUGAGACACGGUCCAGACUCCUACGGGAGGCAGCAGUGGGGAAUAUUGGACAAUGGGCGAAAGCCUGAUCCAGCCAUGCCACGUGUGUGAAGAAGGUCUUCGGAUUGUAAAGCACUUUAAGUUGGGAGGAAGGGCAGUAAGUUAAUACCUUGCUGUUUUGACGUUACCAACAGAAUAAGCACCGGCUAACUUCGUGCCAGCAGCCGCGGUAAUACGAAGGGUGCAAGCGUUAAUCGGAAUUACUGGGCGUAAAGCGCGCGUAGGUGGUUCAGCAAGUUGGAUGUGAAAUCCCCGGGCUCAACCUGGGAACUGCAUCCAAAACUACUGAGCUAGAGUACGGUAGAGGGUGGUGGAAUUUCCUGUGUAGCGGUGAAAUGCGUAGAUAUAGGAAGGAACACCAGUGGCGAAGGCGACCACCUGGACUGAUACUGACACUGAGGUGCGAAAGCGUGGGGAGCAAACAGGAUUAGAUACCCUGGUAGUCCACGCCGUAAACGAUGUCGACUUGGAGGUUGUGCCCUUGAGGCGUGGCUUCCGGAGCUAACGCGUUAAGUCGACCGCCUGGGGAGUACGGCCGCAAGGUUAAAACUCAAAUGAAUUGACGGGGGCCCGCACAAGCGGUGGAGCAUGUGGUUUAAUUCGAUGCAACGCGAAGAACCUUACCUGGUCUUGACAUCCACGGAAGUUUUCAGAGAUGAGAAUGUGCCUUCGGGAACCGUGAGACAGGUGCUGCAUGGCUGUCGUCAGCUCGUGUUGUGAAAUGUUGGGUUAAGUCCCGCAACGAGCGCAACCCUUAUCCUUUGUUGCCAGCGGUCCGGCCGGGAACUCAAAGGAGACUGCCAGUGAUAAACUGGAGGAAGGUGGGGAUGACGUCAAGUCAUCAUGGCCCUUACGACCAGGGCUACACACGUGCUACAAUGGCGCAUACAAAGAGAAGCGACCUCGCGAGAGCAAGCGGACCUCAUAAAGUGCGUCGUAGUCCGGAUUGGAGUCUGCAACUCGACUCCAUGAAGUCGGAAUCGCUAGUAAUCGUGGAUCAGAAUGCCACGGUGAAUACGUUCCCGGGCCUUGUACACACCGCCCGUCACACCACGAGAGUUUGUAACACCCGAAGUCGGUGAGGUAACCUUUUAGGAGCCAGCCGCCGAAGGUGGGACAGAUGAUUGGGGUGAAGUCGGAACAAGGUA